GCUUUCCACCUUUCACCAUUCCCCUACCCCACGCUGCUCCACCGCAGUCUGGGGAGGGGGCUGGUCUGGGUGCUCUUGUCCCCCAUGCUGAGCCUCCCUCCAUCCCUAUGCUGCCGGCUUCCUGGGAACAUGCUUGGGCAGCAGGCUGUGGCUCUGAUUGGCUUUCUGACCAUCAGGAACAUGUCCCAACAUGUUGAGCUCUGGCAUAGAAGAGGCUGGUGGCUAUUUUGUCCUUGGACUGCCUGUUUUCAGGUGAGGAAGGGGAUGGUAGGAGACAGGAGACCUCUAGAGACCCCAGGUAGACCUUGGCCUGUUACUCUCAAUAGGCAGAGGAGAAAGAAGCCUGUCCUCCCUGAGGUCAGCUGCAUUAAAGGAAGAAGACUGGGCAUGUCUGGGCAGAGAUUUCCAGACUCUGAGCAGCCUGAGAUCUGCAUUGGGUAAAUCCUUGCCUGCCAGGUCGGACUCCCCGACCUCCAGAAUGGGUCAACGGUGGGCCAGAAAGAGGGCUCAUUCUAACAGUGCUGUGUCCUCCUGGGGAGUGCCAACUCAUUCUCCAAGUAAAAAACGCCAGAUUUGUGGCUCACUUCGUGGGGAAAUAUGUCCAGCGCACCAACGCAGGCGAGGGACUGGGGGAGGAGGGAAGUGCCCUCCUGAAGCACGCGAGGUUCCGGACCGGCUGGCCUGCUGGAACUCGGCCAGGCUCAGCUGGCUCGGCGCUGG
rnacentral:lncRNA from 10 species